UCCGCAACGACUUUGCCCUUUGGUGGCGG
rnacentral:sRNA from 1 species